GCAAGCCCGAGUUGUAAUUUGUAGAGGAUGCUUCUAGGCAGCGGCCGGUCUAAGUUCUCUGGAACAGGACGUCACAGAGGGUGAGAACCCCGUAUGUGAUCGGCGCGCACCUUCUACGUAGCUCCUUCGACGAGUCGAGUUGUUUGGGAAUGCAGCUCUAAAUGGGAGGUAAAUUUCUUCUAAAGCUAAAUACCGGCCAGAGACCGAUAGCGCACAAGUAGAGUGAUCGAAAGAUGAAAAGCACUUUGGAAAGAGAGUGAAACAGCACGUGAAAUUGUUAAAAGGGAAGCGCUCGCAACCAGCCCUCGGGACGUCGUUCGGCCGGACUUCUGUCCGGUUUACUCUGCGUCUCGAGGCCAACAUCAUCUGGGGCCGUCGGAUAAGACCGUGGGAAUGUGGCUCCCCCUCGGGGGAGUGUUAUAGCCCGCGGUGAUGCGACGCGCCUCGGGUGAGGUCCGCACUUCGGUAAGGAUGUUGGCUUAAUGGUUGCCAGCGGCCCGUCUUGAAACACGGACCAAGGAGUCUAACAUCUAUGCGAGUGUUCGGGUGUCAAACCCCUACGCGUAAUGAAAGUGAACGGAGGUGGGAGCUUCGGCGCACCAUCGACCGAUCCUGAUGUCCUCGGAUGGAUUUGAGUAAGAGCAUAGCUGUUGGGACCCGAAAGAUGGUGAACUAUGCCUGAAUAGGGUGAAGCCAGAGGAAACUCUGGUGGAGGCUCGCAGCGGUUCUGACGUGCAAAUCGAUCGUCAAAUUUGGGUAUAGGGGCGAAAGACUAAUCGAACCAUUAACUACUAGGUGGUUAAGAGGGGAUCCUAGUGUCCCUUAGUCGUCUGGGUAAGCAAUUAUUCGACGGCAACACUGUCAAAUUGCGGGGAGUCCCUAAAGCAUUCGCCACCGCGGCCCACCGAAAGACUGGGUGCAGCACCGGACCUAAUCGUCCGGGGACGGUCACAGCGCGAGUGAUGCAACAAUGGGUGAUCCGCAGCCAAGCGCUAAAGCAUUCGCCACCGCGGCCCACCGAAAGACUGGGUGCAGCACCGGACCUAAUCGUCCGGGGACGGUCACAGCGCGAGUGAUGCAACAAUGGGUGAUCCGCAGCCAAGCG
rnacentral:rRNA from 1 species